rfam:Beta vulgaris subsp. vulgaris chromosome 2, whole genome shotgun sequence.
ACGACCUUACUUGAACAGGAUCUGUUCUAUAGGCUCGUACCUCUGUAUCCUUGAGUUCUAAGGAGACGGGAAACUAAGUCUGGUGGAUGAAUCAUGACUGCGUGAUUAGAGCGUGAUUAUUGGCUUCCACUGAUCUUCGGAUCACUGGUGCCGUAGAGGAUCGUUCCCAAGUUCUUUUGUGAGCUUUGGAUGAUCACAUGGUUGUCUGACGGACU